rnacentral:rRNA from 1 species
UACGUAGGGUGCGAGCGUUGUCCGGAAUUAUUGGGCGUAAAGGGCGCGUAGGCGGCCUUCUAAGUCAUGCGUGAAAUCCCCGGGCUCAACCCGGGAACUGCGUCUGAUACUGGAAGGCUUGAAUCCGGGAGAGGGAUGCGGAAUUCCAGGUGUAGCGGUGAAAUGCGUAAAUAUCUGGAGGAACACCGGUGGCGAAGGCGGCAUCCUGGACCGGUAUUGACGCUGAGGCGCGAAAGCCAGGGGAGCAAACGGG